AUUGAACGCUGGCGGCAUGCCUUACACAUGCAAGUCGAACGGCAGCGCGGGAGCAAUCCUGGCCGCGAGUGGCGAACGGGUGAGUAGCGCAUCGGAACGUGCCCAGUUGUGGGGGAUAGCCCGGCGAAAGCUGGAAUAAUACCGCAUACGACCUGAGGGCGAAAGCGGGGGCCUUGUCCAAGGGCCUCGCGCGAUUGGCGAGGCCGAUGUCAGAUUAGGUUGGUGGUGGGGUAAAGGCCUACCAAGACUGCGAUCUGUAGCUUGUCUGAGAGGACGACCAGCCACACUGGGACUGAGACACGGCCCAGACUCCUACGGGAGGCAGCAGUGGGGAAUGUUGGACAAUGGGCGCAAGCCUGAUCCAGCCAUGCCGCGUGCGGGAAGAAGGCCUUCGGGUUGUAAACCGCUUUUGUCGGGGAAGAAACGGCCUGGGAUAAUACCUUGGGCUAAUGACGGUACCCGAAGAAUAAGCACCGGCUAACUACGUGCCAGCCGCCGCAGUAA
rnacentral:rRNA from 1 species